rnacentral:rRNA from 1 species
GUGAGGAAUUUUCCGCAAUGGGCGAAAGCCUGACGGAGCAAUGCCGCGUGAAGGAUGAAGGCCUAUGGGUUGUAAACUUCUUUUCUCAGAAAAGAAUUAUGACGGUAUCUGAGGAAUAAGCAUCGGCUAACUCUGUGCCAGCAGCCGCGGUAAGACAGAGGAUGCAAGCGUUAUCCGGAAUGAUUGGGCGUAAAGCGUCUGUAGGUUGUUUAAAAAGUAUUCUGUCAAAGAUUAGGGCUUAACCCUAGAUAGGCAGAAUAAACUUUUAAGCUAGAGUGUGGUAGAGGCAGAGGGAAUUCCCGGUGGAGCGGUGAAAUGCGUAGAUAUCGGGAGGAACACCAAAGGCGAAGGCACUCUGCUGGGCCAAUACUAACACUGAGAGACGAAAGCGAGGGGAGCAAAUGGGAUUAGAUACCCUUGUAGUCC